CUGCAAAGCAGCAUCGCGGUGGCGGAGCGUCGUUUGCGACGCCCAACACACAAAACAAGCGGUGAGUGCUUUGGGGUGGGGUGACUGCGUACCUUUUGUAUAAUGGGUCAGCGACUUAUAUUCUGUAGCAAGGUUAACCGAAUAGGGGAGCCGGAGGGAAACCGAGUCUUAAUUGGGCGUUAAGUUGCAGGGUAUAGACCCGAAACCCGGUGAUCUAGCCAUGGGCAGGUUGAAGGUUGGGUAACACUAACUGGAGGACCGAACCGACUAAUGUUGAAAAAUUAGCGGAUGACCUGUGGCUGGGGGUGAAAGGCCAAUCAAACCGGGAGAUAGCUGGUUCUCCCCGAAAGCUAUUUAGGUAGCGCCUCGUGAAUUCAUCUCCGGGGGUAGAGCACUGUUUCGGCUAGGGGGCCAUCCCGGCUUACCAACCCGAUGCAAACUGCGAAUACCGGAGAAUGUUAUCACGGGAGACACACGGCGGGUGCUAACGUCCGUCGUGAAGAGGGAAACAACCCAGACCGCCAGCUAAGGUCCCAAAGUCAUGGUUAAGUGGGAAACGAUGUGGGAAGGCCCAGACAGCCAGGAUGUUGGCUUAGAAGCAGCCAUCAUUUAAAGAAAGCGUAAUAGCUCACUGGUCGAGUCGGCCUGCGCGGAAGAUGUAACGGGGCUAAACCAUGCACCGAAGCUGCGGCAGCGACACUGUGUGUUGUUGGGUAGGGGAGCGUUCUGUAAGCCUGCGAAGGUGUCCCGUGAGGGAUGCUGGAGGUAUCAGAAGUGCGAAUGCUGACAUAAGUAACGAUAAAGCGGGUGAAAAGCCCGCUCGCCGGAAGACCAAGGGUUCCUGUCCAACGUUAAUCGGGGCAGGGUGAGUCGACCCCUAAGGCGAGGCCGAAAGGCGUAGUCGAUGGGAAACGGGUUAAUAUUCCCGUACUUGGUGUUACUGCGAAGGGGGGACGGAGAAGGCUAUGUUGGCCGGGCGACGGUUGUCCCGGUUUAAGCGUGUAGGUGUGUGUUCCAGGUAAAUCCGGUUCACUUUAACAC
rnacentral:rRNA from 1 species